rnacentral:rRNA from 1 species
CCUACGGGCGGCUGCAGUCGAGAAUCAUUCACAAUGGGGGAAACCCUGAUGGUGCGACGCCGCGUGGGGGAAUGAAGGUCUUCGGAUUGUAAACCCCUGUCAUGUGGGAGCAAAUUAAAAAGAUAGUACCACAAGAGAAAGAGACGGCUAACUCUGUGCCAGCAGCCGCGGUAAUACAGAGGUCUCAAGCGUUGUUCGGAAUCACUGGGCGUAAAGCGUGCGUAGGCUGUUUCGUAAGUCGUGUGUGAAAGGUGCGGGCUCAACCCGCGGACGGCACAUGAUACUGCGCGACUAGAGUAAUGGAGGGGGGAACCGGAAUUCUCGGUGUAGCAGUGAAAUGCGUAGAUAUCGAGAGGAACACUCGUGGCGAAGGCAGGUUCCUGGACAUUAACUGACGCUGAGGCACGAAGGCCAGGGGAGCGAAAGGGAUUAGAUACCCUUGUAGUC